CCACAUCCUUAUCUUUUUCUUGUUCUCUUCAUGCACCUACAGAGCACGAGAUGAGCGUGCUUCUCCUCACGUCAUACUCCACCACCAAGCCAACCACUCCACCUUUCCCCUCUAUAAUUCCUACAGCAAAACCUAAUUCCUCUUCUUCCCCACCUUGCGCCGCCGUUUCCCAUCUUCCUCUUGUCCACGCAAAACAUCAGGUAGAGGAGGUUCAGGAACUUCACAAAAUUCAGAGAACCACCGAGAAAUUUUGCCAAAGAAGUCCCAUCAGCGCUCCUGUUCUUUGCUGCUAUCUGCCAUGCUGAGCAUGGGGAUGGAAACCUCGUGACCUCAGCUUCCUCCUCACCCAGUUCACGGAGCCGGAGCAGUUCCGGGACAUCUUCCCCGUCCUCGACUCCGUCGCGCGCCUACACGUACAACGUCCUCGUCAUGCGUCCGCGACGGUGACCACCGCGGCCAUCUCCUUCCUAGGCGUCUUCACGCGUCGCCGAGCCGAGCCCUUCGCCAACAACCCCGACGUAUGAAGAUAUGUUCAAGAUGACGACGUUAGCAAGGUUACCCUUCCGGCUUGGCCUGGGCAGGGUUAUGGACGCCACUGGUUAUCUUCAGGACUCUUAGUCCAAGUUGUAUCUUGUCCGUACUCGGACGUAUUCGAUCUUCUGUAUGAUUUGGAUCUUUGUAUUGUAUAUUUGUAUCUUGACUCGUUGGAGUCGUUGUUGUAAUAUAUGUAUCUUGUGGGCUAUAUUGUAAUCCUGUUGUAAUAUUACCGCUCGUGUUAAUUCAUCUGGCAUCACGUGUGUGAUUCGUCGCGCACGUCGUGUCGGAGGGCGUCUUCGAAUCGAUAUCGUGCGGAUUUCGGCGGGAUCGCUGGAAUCUUCAUGGUACCGGUUUCGGGGCGUCACAAGUUGGUAUCAGAGCUCAGGUUGACGGUACCCCACUAGUCCAGCCUGUAGGAUAACCUUGCCAACGGACGUUGUUGUGUCUAGUGUCAAAACCUAUUUUCUAAAAUUCGUUGUAUAGUUCUGAUUAGCUCUGAUUUUCUCCUUAUCUAUAUUCUUUCUCCUCUUACCUUUGCGAGUUUUGAGUCUUCUCUCUUAUCUGAGUUUCUCCGAGUCUUAGGUUCCGACGCGGGUUGGACGAUCUAUGCUUUUCUCCUAAUAGGUCCGAUCUCAGAAGUCUCCCAACAUAAGUGCAUCAUCAACAACGGAACAACGACUUCUUGUUAGUGGUGUCGCCGUUCUACGUGGAGCAAGAAUUCUUGUUAGUGGUGUCGAGAAGAUCAACACUUCGCCACAAGAAGGUCCCACGCCCAGGUCGGGUGAAGAUCAACGAUGCGCCAUAAGAUCCGAUAGUUCACCUCUCUCCCCCGUACCUUGAGGUGGGAUCUCGGGGCGCGAUCCCUUGUUAGUGGUGUCGUUUGUAACGGCCCAGGGUAACACCCAUAUUAGAAUUGCUUGUUCUUUUUCUUUUAUGCAUCAUGGCAUCAUGCAUCAUCACAUCCAUGUUUUUUUUGUUUUAAUAAAUAAAAAUUAUUUCAUAAACCCUAAACUAUUUUCUUUUUCCUCUCAUAUGGUUUCUAUAUUAAACCUCCUCUACUAUUCAUUUAACAAAACCUUAAAACAUAUAUUUAAAGUAUUGUAAAAUUCUUUUUAAAAUAAGAUUGAAGUUUCAAUUUAUCUUUCGCAAAAAUCCCUCCGCUCUUUUUGUUCCUGCUUCUUUCCCUCUCAUUUAUUUUCUUUCGGCAAAUGGAGAGAUUCACCACUUCUUGAAAAAUGGCCGCACCAAUCUCCUCAUAGCAGCCAUUCUUUAUUUCUUGGUAUCUUGCUUUGUGCCCUACAGGCAGCCCACAUCCUUAUCUUUUUCUUGUUCUCUUCGUGCACCUACAGAGCACGAGAUGAGCGUGCUUCUCCUCACGUCAUACUCCACCACCAAGCCAACCACUCCACCUUUCCCCUCUAUAAUUCCUACAGCAAAACCUAAUUCCUCUUCUUCCCCACCUUGCGCCGCCGUUUCCCAUCUUCCUCUUGUCCACGCAAAACAUCAGGUAGAGGAGGUUCAGGAACUUCACAAAAUUCAGAGAACCACCGUGAAAUUUUGCCAAAGAAGUCCCAUCAGCGCUGCUGUUUCUUGCUGCUAUCUGCCAUGCUGAGCAUGGGGAUGGAAACCUCGUGACCUCAGCUUCCUCCUCACCCAGUUCACGGAGCCGGAGCAGUUCCGGGACAUCUUCCCCGUCCUCGACUCCGUCGCGCGCCUACACGUACAACGUCCUCGUCAUGCGUCCGCGACGGUGACCACCGCGGCCAUCUCCUUCCCAGGCGUCUUCACGCGUCGCCGAGCCGAGCCCUUCGCCAACAACCCCGACCAUUUGCUUCUUCCCGGAUAUGAUCACGAAGUGGUGUGGUGAGAUACGACAAGUUCUCCGGAUGUUCCUCGGCAAGCUUUAACAG